GAUGAACGCUGGCGGCGUGCCUAAUACAUGCAAGUCGAGCGAACGGACGAGAAGCUUGCUUCUCUGAUGUUAGCGGCGGACGGGUGAGUAACACGUGGAUAACCUACCUAUAAGACUGGGAUAACUUCGGGAAACCGUAGCUAAUACCGUAUAAUAUUUUGAACCGCAUGGUUCAAAAGUGAAAGACGGUCUUGCUGUCACUUAUAGAUGGAUCCGCGCUGCAUUAGCUAGUUGGUAAGGUAACGGCUUACCAAGGCAACGAUGCAUAGCCGACCUGAGAGGGUGAUCGGCCACACUGGAACUGAGACACGGUCCAGACUCCUACGGGAGGCAGCAGUAGGGAAUCUUCCGCAAUGGGCGAAAGCCUGACGGAGCAACGCCGCGUGAGUGAUGAAGGUCUUCGGAUCGUAAAACUCUGUUAUUAGGGAAGAACAAAUGUGUAAGUAACUGUGCACAUCUUGACGGUACCUAAUCAGAAAGCCACGGCUAACUACGUG
rnacentral:rRNA from 1 species